rnacentral:lncRNA from 1 species
UUUUUCCCCUUUUUUUAAUUUUUUGUAAUUAGUUGUUUGCAACGGCGUUGUGUUAGAAGAAGAAUGUGAGUUUUUUUCCUUUUUAUUGAGCAAUUUUUUUUUUUGCAAAUUACAGAAUCCGUAACAUAAUGUUACGAGGACUCUUUUUGACCGAACAAUCUGUAAUAUCAAACUGAAAUAAAUGAUUGAAAUUUGAUAUAGAAUACGUUGUCCGAAAU